rnacentral:rRNA from 1 species
AGAAUUCCAGGUGUAGCGGUGAAAUGCGUAGAGAUCUGGAGGAAUACCGAUGGCGAAGGCAGCCAUCUGGCNUAAUACUGACACUGAGGUGCGAAAGCAUGGGGAGCAAACAGGAUUAGAUACCCUGGUAGUCCAUGCCGUAAACGAUGUCUACUAGCCGUUGGGGCCUUUGAGGCUUUAGUGGCGCAGCUAACGCGAUAAGUAGACCGCCUGGGGAGUACGGUCGCAAGACUAAAACUCAAAUGAAUUGACGGGGGCCCGCACAAGCGGUGGAGCAUGUGGUUUAAUUUGAUGCAACGCGAAGAACCUUACCUGGUCUUGACAUAGUAAGAACUUUCCAGAGAUGGAUUGGUGCCUUCGGGAACUUACAUACAGGUGCUGCAUGGCUGUCGUCAGCUCGUGUCGUGAGAUGUUGGGUUAAGUCCCGCAACGAGCGCAACCCUUUUCCUUAUUUGCCAGCGGGUUAAGCCGGGAACUUUAAGGAUACUGCCAGUGACAAACUGGAGGAAGGCGGGGACGACGUCAAGUCAUCAUGGCCCUUACGACCAGGGCUACACACGUGCUACAAUGGUCGGUACAAAGGGUUGCUACCACGCGAGUGGAUGCUAAUCUCAAAAAGCCGAUCGUAGUCCGGAUUGGAGUCUGCAACUCGACUCCAUGAAGUCGGAAUCGC